UACGUAGGUCCCGAACGUUGUCCGGGUUUAUUGGGCGUAAAGCGAGCGCAGGUGGUUUAUUAAGUCUGGUGUAAAGGGCAGUGGCUCAACCAUUGUAUGCAUUGGAAACUGGUAGACUUGAGUGCAGGAGAGGAGAGUGGAAUUCCAUGUGUAGCGGUGAAAUGCGUAGAUAUAUGGAGGAACACCGGUGGCGAAAGCGGCUCUCUGGCCUGUAACUGACACUGAGGCUCGAAAGCGUGGGGAGCAAACAGG
rnacentral:rRNA from 1 species